ACAAGUACCGUGAGGGAAAGUUGAAAAGCACUUUGAAGAGAGAGUUAAAGAGGACGUGAAACCGAUGAGAUGGAAACGGACAGAGCUAGCGUAUCUGGCUUGCAUUCAGCUUAUGCGGUCGCUACCGAUGCGUCGCUGACCUCCAGAUUGGGGCUUUGACUAGUCGGUCGGUGGCUGUGUUGUGCAUUUGCAAGUGGAGUGCGUCGAGGCAUCUGGGAUGGCGGAAUGAACUUGGCUUUGAGGCCAGCUUGCUGGUACCCGGGCCUGGGGAUUUCUGUUCGUUCUAGGUGUUUUUGCGGUCGAACAAGGCUUUGCGAGCCUGGUUGGGUGCCGAGCUGGGUGUCGGUGGCGGUCGCAUGCGACACGUACUGUGCCAUCAGUUCGGUCCUGGCCGAGCUCACUCCAUGUUCAAUCUCGGCGUAAAAGCUGGUCAUCUUUCCGACCCGUCUCGAAACACGGACCAAGGAGUUUAUCGUGUGCGCGAGUCAUUGGGCGUUGAAAACCCAAAGGCGCAAUGAAAGUAAAUGUAUCCGCUCGGAACUGAUGUGCGACCCUGGUCACUGCGGUGGCCAGGAGCAGCAUGGCCCCAUCCUGACUGCUUGCAGUGGGGUGGAGGAAGAGCGUACGCGAUGAGACCCGAAAGAUGGUGAACUAUUCCUGAGCAGGAUAAAGCCAGAGGAAACUCUGGUGGAAGUCCGAAGCGAUUCUGACGUGCAAAUCGAUCGUCUGACUUGGGUAUAGGGGCGAAAGACUAAUCGAACCAUCUAGUAGCUGGUUCCUUCCGA
rnacentral:rRNA from 1 species